rnacentral:rRNA from 1 species
CUAAUACCGCAUGAUGCAGUUGGGUCGGCAUGGCUCUGACUGCCAAAGAUUUAUUCGCUCUGAGAUGGCCUCGCGUCUGAUUAGCUAGUAGGCGGGGUAACGGCCCACCUAGGCGACGAUCAGUAGCCGGACUGAGAGGUUGACCGGCCACAUUGGGACUGAGACACGGCCCAGACUCCUACGGGAGGCAGCAUG